rnacentral:rRNA from 1 species
AACGAGCGCUGGCGGCAUGCCUAACACAUGCAAGUCGAACGAGACCUUCGGGUCUAGUGGCGCACGGGUGCGUAACGCGUGGGAACCUGCCCUUAGGUUCGGAAUAACUCCCCGAAAGGGGUGCUAAUACCGGAUAAUGUCUUCGGACCAAAGAUUUAUCGCCUUUGGAUGGGCCCGCGUUGGAUUAGCUAGUUGGUAGGGUAAAAGCCUACCAAGGCGACGAUCCAUAGCUGGUCUGAGAGGAUGAUCAGCCACACUGGGACUGAGACACGGCCCAGACUCCUACGGGAGGCAGCAGUAGGGAAUAUUGGACAAUGGGCGAAAGCCUGAUCCAGCAAUGCCGCGUGAGUGAUGAAGGCCUUAGGGUUGUAAAGCUCUUUUACCCGGGAUGAUAAUGACAGUACCGGGAGAAUAAGCUCCGGCUAACUCCGUG